rnacentral:tRNA from 35 species
UGCCAUAGCUCAGUUGGUAGAGCAAAGGACUGAAAAUCCUUGUGUCCCCGGUUCGAUUCCUGGUGGUA